GGGACGCUUACCACUUUGUGGUUCAUGACUGGGUGAAGUCGUAACAAGGUAGCGCUAGGGGAACCUGGCGCUGGAUCACCUCCUUAAACGAUGAU
rnacentral:rRNA from 1 species